UACGAAGGGGGCUAGCGUUGCUCGGAAUCACUGGGCGUAAAGGGUGCGUAGGCGGGUCUUUAAGUCAGGGGUGAAAUCCUGGAGCUCAACUCCAGAACUGCCUUUGAUACUGAAGAUCUUGAGUUCGGGAGAGGUGAGUGGAACUGCGAGUGUAGAGGUGAAAUUCGUAGAUAUUCGCAAGAACACCAGUGGCGAAGGCGGCUCACUGGCCCGGUACUGACGCUGAUGUGCGAAAGCGUGGGGAGCAAACAGG
rnacentral:rRNA from 1 species